GUCGAACGAAUCCCAUCUGGGUAACUGGGUGGGGGAAGUGGCGAAAGGGGCAGUAAGGCAUGGGUAACCUACCCCGGGGACGGGCAUAGCCUCCCUAACGGGAGGGUAAUUCCUGGCGAUUCGUGUGUGUGGCAUCAUACGCACGGGAAAUGAAUUUCGCCUCGGGAGGGUCCCAUGUGGUAUUAGCUUGUUGGUGAGGUAACGGCUCACCAAGGCCAAGAUGCCUAGCGGGUGUGAGAGCACGACCCGCGCCACUGGCACUGAGACACUGGCCAGACUCCUACGGGAGGCUGCAGUCGAGGAUCUUCGGCAAUGGGCGCAAGCCUGACCGAGCGACGCCGCGUGCGCGAUGAAGGCCUUCGGGUUGUAAAGCGCUGUCGAGGGGAAGAAAAGCCCGCAAGGGUUUGAUCGACCCCUGGAGGAAGCACGGGCUAAGUUCGUGCCAGCAGCCGCGGUAAGACGAACCGUGCGAACGUUGUUCGGAAUCACUGGGCUUAAAGGGCGCGUAGGCGGGCCAUCAAGUCAGGAGUGAAAUCCUCCAGCUCAACUGGAGAACAGCUUUUGAUACUGGUGGUCUCGAGGGGGGUAGGGGCAUGUGGAACUUCCGGUGGAGCGGUGAAAUGCGUAGAUAUCGGAAGGAACGCCGGUGGCGAAAGCGACGUGCUGGACCCUUUCUGACGCUGAGGCGCGAAAGCCAGGGGAGCAAACGGGAUUAGAUACCCCGGUAGUCCUGGCCCUAAACGAUGGGUACUAGAUUGUGGACGGACAUGGGUUCACAGUCGAAGCAAAAGUGUUAAGUACCCCGCCUGGGGAGUAUGGUCGCAAGGCUGAAACUCAAAGGA
rnacentral:rRNA from 1 species